rnacentral:rRNA from 1 species
GACGAACGCUGGCGGCGUGCUUAACACAUGCAAGUCGAACGGAAAGGCCCUGCUUUUGUGGGGUGCUCGAGUGGCGAACGGGUGAGUAACACGUGAGUAACCUGCCCUUGACUUUGGGAUAACUUCAGGAAACUGGGGCUAAUACCGGAUAGGAGCUCCUGCUGCAUGGUGGGGGUUGGAAAGUUUCGGCGGUUGGGGAUGGACUCGCGGCUUAUCAGCUUGUUGGUGGGGUAGUGGCUUACCAAGGCUUUGACGGGUAGCCGGCCUGAGAGGGUGAACGGGCACCUUGGGACUGAGAUACGGCCCAGACUCCUACGGGAGGCAGCAGUGGGGAAUAUUGCACAAUGGGCGGAAGCCUGAUGCAGCAACGCCGCGUGCGGGAUGACGGCCUUCGGGUUGUAAACCGCUUUCGGCUGUGACGAAGCGUGAGUGACGGUAAUGGGUAAAGAAGCACCGGCUAACUACGUG